AAAACCCUCCAUUUCCAUUUAUUUGCCUUUCAAAACGCCAACAACCUUUAAGCUCCUUUUUUUCUUUUUUUUAAAAAAAAGAAGAACCCUUAAUAUGCUCUGUUCUCCCCUUUUUUCUCUUUUUUUUUUAAAAAAAAAGAACUCUUAAUCUGCUCUGUUAGGGUCAGUUCAGCAUGCAACUGCCGAACCAACAUCCAUUCGAUGGUCGACGGCGUGAACAACGACCAGAUUUCGCCAACCGAGGCUGUGACCAUGGAGAUCUGGUACGAUGAAGGCCAGCUGGCGUGCGGUGCUGCGUACGGAGGUACGGAGAGGCCUUAGUGGUUGCUGUUGCGGCGCAAAAAACAAAUGGGGGUGACCUAGGGUUUCUGAUUUGGUUCAAAUUUUUGGGCUUUUUGGGCUGUUCAGGAUUGGGCUUAUUGGGCUAGGAUAUUAAGUUUGUUUUUUGGGUCAUGUAUUGGGCUUUAUAGGUCACUAACUAAAUAGACUUUAUUUUAUUUAUUUAUUUUUGGGUUUCCAGGGGGCCGGGCAAAUUGGCCUAUUUACACUCCAAAUUUACUAAAUAAUAUAGUUUUUAAAAUUGUCCAUAAA